rnacentral:rRNA from 1 species
GACGAACGCUGGCGGCGUGCUUAACACAUGCAAGUCGAACGGAAAGGCCCUGCUUGCAGGGUACUCGAGUGGCGAACGGGUGAGUAACACGUGGGUGAUCUGCCCUGCACUUCGGGAUAAGCCUGGGAAACUGGGUCUAAUACCGGAUAGGAGCCAUUUUUAGUGUGAUGGUUGGAAAGUUUUUUCGGUGUAGGAUGAGCUCGCGGCCUAUCAGCUUGUUGGUGGGGUAAUGGCCUACCAAGGCGGCGACGGGUAGCCGGCCUGAGAGGGUGGACGGCCAAAUUGGGAAUAAGAACCGGCCCAACCCCCGGGGGGGGGAGAGAGGGGGGAAGAGUGAAAAAGGGGGGAAACCCUGAGGGAGGCGGGCCGGGGGGGGAGUAAGGGCCUUCGGUUUGAAAACCUCUUUGGCAAGGAAAAAACUUUGUGGGGAGGGAACAAAGAAAAGAAGCACGGCCAAACUAGGU